rnacentral:rRNA from 1 species
GCGCGGAAACUUUACAAUGCACGCAAGUGUGAUAAGGGAAUCCAAAGUGCUUACGCUUUGCGUAGGCUUUUGCCAAGUCUAAACAGCUUGGAGAAUAAGUGGUGGGUAAGACUGGUGCCAGCAGCCGCGGUAACCCCAGCGCCACGAGUGGGAGUCGCUUUUAUUGGGCCUAAAGCGUUCGUAGCCUGUUUAGUAAGUCUUUUGUGAAAUUGUUAGGCUUAACCUGACAGCGUGCAAGAGAUACUACUUUUCUUGGGACCGGGAGGAGUAUGGGGUAUUCCAUGGGGAACGGUAAAAUGUAAUAAUCCAUGGAGGACCACCAGUGGCGAAGGCGCCAUACUAGAACGGAUUCGACGGUGAGGGACGAAGGCUAGGGGAGCAAAACGG